ACAUUCAUUCUUGAUCAAAGAGGAAAGAUUCACAAAUAUCGACAAUCAGGUGGUUGCUAAAGAUCUUAUUAAAAGUUACGGCGGGUCGAUAAACCAAUUUGUAAUUUAAAUCCUCUCUUCACAUGCGUACUUGAGAAAGGAAAUAUAAUACCACAUGCAAAUGAUUCCUUUGAUACUGUUACGGAAAAUUCAAACGCUUAAAGAGAUACUGAAGAAUUUCGCACCUGACUUCACAGAAGGGCGGAAAUAUAAAUAAUUCCCAGCUAUUUGUCCUCAAUCGGAAAUAAGUUCAGAAGGUAUUGCGGAUGACAUUUGCAAUUUAAUCAAUGUUGAUGGAAACGAGGCGAAUGAGGCAUAGAAGAGACCAUUGUAGAACAUGCGAGUUGAAAAUUAUCUUUGAAAGACCGGAAUAUCGUAGCGGAAUGCAAGCGGAAAUCGAUAGUGCGAACAGAUAACCUAAAUGCCGUGGCAUUUAUCAACCUCGAAAGUGAGGGAGAAAAUAAAUAAUGUAUUAAUACCAAUGGUUUGGAUUUAUAUAUGCUUUGGUAUAUCAUUGCUUUAAUACACUCGGGAAUUGGCAGUGUGUAGAUCUCUCAUAUUCUUGACAAGGAUAUUGGUUUUUUCACCAUUACACUUGCAUCGUUUUACUAAAAGCGAUGUUUCAUAUUGGAAUAAACGUAACACAAUUGAAGAAAUCUGGAACUGUAAUAUUAGAUUUACUGUGUCUAUAUUUACUCAUGAGAAAUCUGAGAGGUGAUGUUGGAAUAUUACCAGAUUUUAUGGAAUAAUUGCAAGACUGUCCUAACAUUUGAGGGAAUUCGAUAUAGUCCCGAGAUAAUACGUGCUCCAAGUUUUUUCAAGACCGUCAAAACAAUGGAAUAAUAGGGCAGAUUCUUUUCUCAGUUGUGCGAAGAUGUUACAGCUUAUAUUAAGUAUGGUGCCGUCAUUAUUUGCAAUACUGCUGCUGAUAACGAAACUAUGCACAUACGUGGAAAGCGUCAAUGCUGAGGAUCCUCUGAAUCCACCGUAUAUAAUUGAGACGCAUAUAAACGGUGCAUUAACCACAGAAAACAACAUAAAACUGGAGUCUUUAGACAACCAGCAUGUUUAUGACACCCCUCCUGUUAACAUGCUUGACAUCUAUUGGCUCAACAGCUCCGUUCACUCCAUCUCAAUCAGAUGGGGUCUCAAUUCUAAUUAUAACCUAACAGGAUUUGUGAGAGAUUCGGUGGUAGAAUAUUUUCCUAAAGGUGGGCGUUUUAAAUCACACCCAUUAUCUAGUGACGUCAGGGAGUAUACGUUUGAAAAUUUAGAGGCGGGGACAGUUUAUACGAUAUGUGUUUACUUGUCAGAGAUAUACGGAGAUGGGAACCUUAGCACUAUAGUUCAUUCAAAGUGUGUAAAGAUAAAUACAAUUAAUUACAUUCGGAGAGACAGUAUUGUAAUAAUGAUAAUUACAUUAGGAUAUUAUGCAUUUAUGGGACUUAUAGGAUAUACACAGUGGAAACGUCGGCUUUGGAGAAUAAGAAAACACAACAAAAACAGGUAUAGUGAACAUAUGGACAGUGACAAUCAAAAUGUCUGUGUAAUGAGGUGGCGCGAAUUAGCUGAAAAAGAACGCCUUAUGUCUAAACCAGGAGGUUCUAUAGAAUGUGAUGACACCUAGGUGCCGUCUACAAUAAUAAUAAAAAAAAGAUUCUAGUCUACUCGGUGAAACAAAUAUAAUACUCGUUCGCUUUAUCAUACACAGCGAGCUUCCGAGAUCUCUCUAAUAGUAUUCAGUUGUUGUCAAAUGUUAAGGUCUAUUUUGUUUUUGUUUUAUUGUACAUUUGUGGUUUAAAUUGAUUGGCAUUUUCAGUAAAUAAUUGUGAAAUUCUGGAACAUUAUUAAACAAGAGAUUUUUGUAAUUCAUGAAUGCACUCCACGGGCCCUCAAAAUGGCAUGUCCCAUUUUCAGUCACUAGUUUAAUAUGAACUUGCCCUAUGACCUAUUGACUCUCAAACAAUAGUGGUUACCUACUGAUCUCAGGCAAUAUCCUAAGUGUGUGGGUUGUAGUUCAAAGCGUUCUUUGGUUAUUGAACAAACACAAUUUUCAGUCUGAAUGUCAUUGUGACCUAGAUCUUUGCUCUACAGACCCCAAAACGUUUUCAGUUUCAAUAUCACUUUGGCCUUGACCUUUGACCUACUGACUCCAAAACAACAGGGAUCAUCUACCCACAGAAAUAAAUCUUUAAAAUCUGAAGACUUUAGGCCAGUGCGUUCUUCACUUAUUCAGGCACACUGUUUGUUUCAAUCUCAAGGUCAUUGUGACCUUGCCUUUUGUCCUACUAAAUCUAAAACAAAUGGAAGCAUCCACUGACACAUCAAACUUAAAGUUUGACGACUGUAGGCCAAAGCAUUUUUCAGUGUUCGAUCGAAAACGGAUCUUCAGUUCAAGAUCAAUAUGACCUUGACCUUUGAUCUACUAAUAAAGUAAACAAAAGGGGUCAUCUAUAUGUCAAAGGCAGUCAACUUAUGAAGUUUGACGACCGUUGGCCAAAGCAUUUUUCAGUGUUCGAUCGAAAACGAAUCUUCAGUUCAAGGUCACUAUGACCUUGACCUUUGGUAUACUAACAAACUAAACAAAAGGGGUCAUUAUAUGUCAAAGACAGUCAACUUAUGAAGUUUGACGACCGUUGGCCAAAAGGUUUUUCGGUUAUCGAUCGGAAACCGGUCUUGAGCUUAAAGUCAACAGGCCUUUGCCUUUGAGUAACCGAACUCAAAAUUAAUAGGUGCCAUUCGCUAGACACGGUAAACCUAUCUACUAAGUUUGAGGUUCCUGCACAGAAACGUUCUUUUAGAAUAGAUUGGAAAUUGAGGCGACAGACGGACAUUUAAGAAAAGCAGAAUGAACACACGUAUAAUGUUUUUAAAUUGAGUAGCUCAAGUCAGAGUUAGUGACAACUAGGAAAAGGAUAAACUGUCCGAAAUGAUUUAAAAAAUGCUAUAAUCCAAGAAACUAUGUACUGUUUGCAUUGGUACAAAUGGCAUCUCUCUAGUGACACGCUUUUAUUUCUUUACCCUCGGGACAGAAUACACCUACAACAGCGUAAACUUGCUCUUAGUUUAAACGGUGCUAUAUUCAUCGGAUCAGAAAAAGAAACUGAAAAUGAAGUUUUCUCAAUGUAGUGUUAAAAAUGCUCAUUUUAUAGCUGAAGUUAAAAGUGAUGGAAAAUACUGUCAAUUUUAUAUGAAUUCUGCAAGUAAAGCUGUUAUUUCCAGUAUCACAGAAUACAUAUACAGACACAUUCUGUCUGUGAUGUUAAUAUAUGUUUUUCUGGUGGUAAUAAUGUCUCUGUUGUUUAUUUAUGUCUUUCAUGUGGUAAACAAGUGAGCCGAUAAUGAUUUUGUCUAAAAUGUGGUAGCCAUAUUUCUAUUAUGAAUAUAAAGUAUACUCUUGAAAAAAUGUUUUCUCAUAUACUUUUUAUGGGUUUAAAUAUUUAAAUAACGCAGUAUGAAAAUAUAAUUGAA
rnacentral:lncRNA from 1 species